UCCGCCUUAGUGUAACUGGCAGCACGGCAUCCUUUGGUGAUGUUUCGGUCCGGGUUCGAGUCCUGGAGGCGGAG
rnacentral:tRNA from 1 species